CCGCCGACGGUGGAACAAUGUCGCCAGUAAGGGCAAUGACGAAGCAGGAAGCCGGUGUAAAUCCGGCGCGGUCCCGCCACUGUAAUCGGGGAGCGACCCUCAUGAACCACGGCCGAAGGCUGGAAGGUGAGGCGAGCAGCGAUCCGAGAGCCAGGAGACUCGCGUCAUUGCGUCGCAUCGA
rfam:Mycobacterium intermedium strain HMC2_M5 PROKKA_contig000007, whole genome shotgun sequence.